AAGCUCCUCAGCAGCACACAUACUAAAAUUGGAACGAUGCAGAGAAGGUUAGCAUGGCUCCUGCGUAAGGGUGACAUGCAGAUUUUUGUAGCAUUUCAUAUUUAA